rnacentral:rRNA from 1 species
GACGAACGCUGGCGGCGUGCCUAACACAUGCAAGUCGAGCGGAGAAAUUAAAGCUUGCUUUAAUUUCUUAGCGGCGGACGGGUGAGUAACACGUGGGCAACCUGCCCUUGAGAGGGGGAUAACACAGAGAAAUUUGUGCUAAUACCGCAUAACAUUUAGACUUCGCCUGGAGUUUAAAUCAAAGGAGUAAUCCGCUCAAGGAUGGGCCCGCGGCGCAUUAGCUAGUGGGUGAGGUAAUGGCUCACCAAGGCGACGAUGCGUAGCCGACCUGAGAGGGUGAUCGGCCACAUUGGAACUGAGACACGGUCCAGACUCCUACGGGAGGCAGCAGUGGGGAAUAUUGCGCAAUGGGGGAAACCCUGACGCAGCAACGCCGCGUGAGCGAUGAAGGCCUUCGGGUUGUAAAGCUCUGUCUUUGGGGACGAUAAUGACGGUACCCAAGGAGGAAGCCACGGCUAACUACGUGCCAGCAGCCGCAGUAAUAC